GAUGAACGCUGGCGGCGUGCUUAACACAUGCAAGUCGAACGGAAAGGCCCAAGCUUGCUUGGGUACUCGAGUGGCGAACGGGUGAGUAACACGUGGGUGAUCUGCCCUGCACUUCGGGAUAAGCCUGGGAAACUGGGUCUAAUACCGGAUAGGACCACUUCUUGGAUGUUGUGGUGGAAAGUUUUUUCGGUGUGGGAUGAGCUCGCGGCCUAUCAGCUUGUUGGUGGGGUAAUGGCCUACCAAGGCGUCGACGGGUAGCCGGCCUGAGAGGGUGUACGGCCACAUUGGGACUGAGAUACGGCCCAGACUCCUACGGGAGGCAGCAAUGGGGAAUAUUGCACAAUAGGCGCAAGCCUGAUGCAGCGACGCCGCGUGGGGGAUGACGGCCUUCGGGUUGUAAACUCCUUUCGCUAGGGACGAAGCGUUUUUGUGACGGUACCUGGAGAAGAAGCACCGGCUAACUACGUG
rnacentral:rRNA from 1 species